rnacentral:rRNA from 1 species
UUGUUGGUAAGGUAAAGGCUUACCAAGGCUUCGAUCAGUAGCUGGUCUGAGAGGACGGCCAGCCACACUGGGACUGAGACACGGCCCAGACUCCUACGGGAGGCAGCAGUGGGGAAUUUUGGACAAUGGGGGAAACCCUGAUCCAGCCAUGCCGCGUGAGUGAAGAAGGCCUUCGGGUUGUAAAGCUCUUUCAGCCGGAACGAAACGGUUACGGAUAAUACCCGUGACUACUGACGGUACCGGAAGAAGAAGCACCGGCUAACUACGUGCCAGCAGCCGCGGUAAUACGUAGGGUGCGAGCGUUAAUCGGAAUUACUGGGCGUAAAGCGUGCGCAGGUGGUUUUGUAAGUCAGAUGUGAAAGCCCCGGGCUCAACCUGGGAACUGCGUUUGAAACUACAAGACUAGAGUGUGGCAGAGGGGGGUGGAAUUCCGCGUGUAGCAGUGAAAUGCGUAGAGAUGUGGAGGGACACCGAUGGCGAAGGCAGCCCCCUGGGUUAACACUGACACUCAGGCACGAAAGCAUGGGGAGCAAACAGGAUUAGAUACCCUGGUAGUCCAUGCCCUAAACGAUGUCAACUAGUUGUCGGGCCUUUACGGGCUUGGUAACGUAGCUAACGCGUGAAGUUGACCGCCUGGGGAGUACGAUCGCAAGAUUAAAACUCAAAUGAAUUGACGGGGACCCGCACAAGCGGUGGAUUAUGUGGAUUAAUUCGAUGCAACGCGAAAAACCUUACCUACCCUUGACAUGUAUCGAAGCCCGCAGAAAAGCGGGGGUGCCCGAAAGGGAACGAUAACACAGGUGCUGCAUGGCUGUCGUCAGCUCGUGUCGUGAGAUGUUGGGUUAAGUCCCGCAACGAGCGCAACCCUUGUCAUUAAUUGCCAUCAUUUAGUUGGGCACUUUAAUGAGACUGCCGG